rnacentral:lncRNA from 1 species
AGAUGUAGAUGGAACCAAAGUCCAGAAGUUACGCGUCACCCUUGCUCUACAGCCAAACAUGCAGGACUCUAGUAACCCGCGAAAUGAUGGGAUAGCGUUGCAAAUCCUUAAAAGAGUCUUAACGAAAUCCUGGCUGACAUUGACUUCUCCACUGCAACCAUCGAGUUCAUUGUCUCCUAAACCUUGCCAUGGAGGCCUGUGGCACCUGAGCCAGCCAUUAUCAUCACCAGCACUUCCAUGAGCUACAAGCUGGACCCACUGCAGUCCUCCUGACACACUGAAAUCAGAGCCUGCACACAGAGCAGCAGAUGCUUCAAUGUAAAGGUCAUUUCCAGCUAUGUGUUCCAAGAUUACUGAAGCAGGAUUCUGGCCUUCCUGAUAAGAACAUGACCAGAUCCAGCUGGUUUGCAACAAGAUGAACUUCAGUGCUGAGCUUUCACCAAGUUUUUCUCACUACAAUCUCAUUGUAAUACUAAAAUCUCCACCCAAGAUGGAGGUUAUCUGCCAUUUUCUGUACAUGUGUUACCAGAAAGGGGUCCUGAUCCAGACCCCAAAAGAGGGUUCUUGGAUCUCACGCAACAAAGAGUUCGGGGCGAGUCCAUAGAGUAAAGUGAAAGCAAGUUCAUCAAGAAAGCAAAGGAAUAAAGAAUGCCUACUCCAUAGGCAGAGCAGUGGCUUUGGCUGCUCAGCUGCUUGUACUUGUUACUUCUUGAGUAUAUGCUAAACAAGGGAUUGAUUACUCCUUGUUUAGCAGUUUUCUGGGAAAGGAGUGGGCAAUUCCCAGAACUGAGGGUUCCUCCCCUUUUUAGACCAUAUAGGGUGACUUCCUGAUGUUGCCAUGGCAUUUGUAAACUGUCAUGGCGCUAGUGGGAGUGUCUUUUAGCAUGCUAAUGCAUGAGCAGUGAGGAUGACCCGAGGUCAUUUUUGUUACCAUCUUGGUUUUGGUGGGUUUUGGCUGGUUUUGGCCGGCUUCUUUACCACUUCUUUUUAUCAGCAAGGUCUUUGUGACCUGUACUUAGUGCCGACUUCCUGUCUCAUCCUGUGAGUAAGAAUGCCUAAUCUCUCAGGAAUGCAGCCCAGUAGGUCUCAACCUUAUUUUACCCAGCCCCCAUUCAAGAUGGAGUGACUCUGGUUCAAAUGCCUCUGACACAUGUGCCUCAUGUUUGGGCAUGAGACCUCACUGUGUAGGUGCAGAGAAGACCCUGCCUAAACAUUGCCUACACGUUGCUCCUUUUUCCUGCCUCAACUUCCUUAAAAUGACAAGAGCAGAGCCCUUUUGGGAGCUAACAUCAGGACUCCUUUUCUGUACUCUGCUCCGUUGUGCUGCUAGAGCCACAAGCCUAUUAAACUUUGCCUGAAAUAAA